CGCACCUCCCCGGGCUUGGGCCGCGGGGCCCUGCGGCAGGGGCGCGUGUGAGUGUGCACGAGCGCGUGAGUGUGCCGGGGGCGGGCGGCGAGCCGGCGCCAGGCUCCAGGAGGGACAAGAGGCCUGCUCGGUUCCGAAAAGACCGAUGAGAACGCGGGCGCGCCCGAUUCCGUGCGGCCGUGGUUAUUAAUCCAUGCCUGACUUCGAAAUGGAAACUCCGAGACCGAGUUAAUUGCCUAAUUACUUUUGGAGAAUAACCCACCAACCAACCAUGGGUGAAGCAUGAGAAUCACCAGCACGCGGAGAUGAGACGAAAGCAGGUCCCCUCCCUGGUGGGGGAGGCGGCUCCCACCUGGCACACUCCUCUCGGAUGGAGACUGGAGAGGGUUCCCGUGGGCAACUGCUUCCCCGCAGAGACCCUGGCUCGGUGGGUGAGGAAGCAGA